GGAGGAGAGAGCAAAGCACUGUCCCAUAGGAGAGAGCAGGAGACAGGUAUGUAAGGUAGAGGUUACUCUGGGAGGCCAUAAGCUUUCCUGAAGAGAUGGGUUUUAAGGCCCUUCUUAAAUGAUUGAAGACUAGGGGAGAGUCUGAUGGCAGUAGGCAAGCUAUUCCAUAGGAGAGGAGCCGCCCGCGAGAGGUCCUGCAAGCGCGAGUUGGCCGUACGGGUGCGAGCAGC